CCUACGGGAGGCAGCAGUGAGGAAUAUUGGUCAAUGGACGAGAGUCUGAACCAGCCAAGUAGCGUGAAGGAUGACUGCCCUAUGGGUUGUAAACUUCUUUUAUAUGGGAAUAAAAUGUUCCACGUGUGGGAUUUUGUAUGUACCAUAUGAAUAAGGAUCGGCUAACUCCGUGCCAGCAGCCGUGGUAAUACGGAGGAUCCGAGCGUUAUCCGGAUUUAUUGGGUUUAAAGGGAGCGUAGGUGGAUUGUUAAGUCAGUUGUGAAAGUUUGCGGCUCAACCGUAAAAUUGCAGUUGAAACUGGCAGUCUUGAGUACAGUAGAGGUGGGCGGAAUUCGUGGUGUAGCGGUGAAAUGCUUAGAUAUCACGAAGAACUCCGAUUGCGAAGGCAGCUCACUGGACUGCAACUGACACUGAGGCUCGAAAGCGUGGGGAGCAAACAGGAUUAGAUACCCUUGUAGUC
rnacentral:rRNA from 1 species